UACAGAGGGGGGCUAGCGUUAUUCGGAAUUAUUGGGCGUAAAGGGCGCGUAGGCGGCUUUGCGUGUCUUCCGUGAAAUCCCUCGGCUCAACCGAGGACGUGCGGAAGAAACUGCAAGGCUCGAGUCCGGAAGAGGGGGGCGGAAUUCCCAGUGUAGCGGUGGAAAUGCGUAGAUAUUGGGAGGAACACCAGUGGCGAAGG
rnacentral:rRNA from 1 species